rnacentral:rRNA from 1 species
CCUACGGGUGGCAGCAGUGGGGAAUAUUGCGCAAUGGGCGAAAGCCUGACGCAGCGACGCCGCGUGAGGGAUGAAGGUCUUCGGAUCGUAAACCUCUGUCAGCAGGGAAGAACGGUCACUGUGCUAAUCAGCAGCGAAUUGACGGUACCUGCAAAGGAAGCACCGGCUAACUCCGUGCCAGCAGCCGCGGUAAUCCGGAGGGGGCGAGCGUUAAUCGGAAUUAGUGGGCUUAAAGGGCUCGUAGGCGGUAUGGCAAGUCAAGGGUGAAAUCCCCGCGCUCAACGUGGGAACUGCCUUUGAAACUGGCAAACUGGAGUGUGUGAGAGGAUAGCGGAAUUCCAGGUGUAGGAGUGAAAUCCGUAGAUAUCUGGAGGAACAUCAGUGGCGAAGGCGACUAUCUGGCACAUAACUGACGCUGAGGAGCGAAAGCGUGGGUAGCAAACAGGAUUAGAUACCCGUGUAGUC